AGUGAACGCUGGCGGUAGGCCUAACACAUGCAAGUCGAACGGCAGCACAGUAAGAGCUUGCUCUUACGGGUGGCGAGUGGCGGACGGGUGAGGAAUACAUCGGAAUCUACUUUUUCGUGGGGGAUAACGUAGGGAAACUUACGCUAAUACCGCAUACGACCUCGGGUGAAAGCAGGGGAUCUUCGGACCUUGCGCGAUUGAAUGAGCCGAUGUCGGAUUAGCUAGUUGGCGGGGUAAAGGCCCACCAAGGCGACGAUCCGUAGCUGGUCUGAGAGGAUGAUCAGCCACACUGGAACUGAGACACGGUCCAGACUCCUACGGGAGGCAGCAGUGGGGAAUAUUGGACAAUGGGCGCAAGCCUGAUCCAGCCAUACCGCGUGGGUGAAGAAGGCCUUCGGGUUGUAAAGCCCUUUUGUUGGGAAAGAAAAGCAGCAGGUUAAUACCCCGCUGUUCUGACGGUACCCAAAGAAUAAGCACCGGCUAACUUCGUG
rnacentral:rRNA from 1 species